rnacentral:rRNA from 1 species
AUUGAACGCUGGCGGCAGGCCUAACACAUGCAAGUCGAACGGCAGCACAGAAGAGCUUGCUCUUUGGGUGGCGAGUGGCGGACGGGUGAGUAAUGUCUGGGAAACUGCCCGAUGGAGGGGGAUAACUACUGGAAACAGUAGCUAAUACCGCAUAACGUCGCGAGACCAAAGUGGGGGACCUUCGGGCCUCACACCAUCGGAUGUGCCCAGAUGGGAUUAGCUAGUAGGUGGGGUAAUGGCUCACCUAGGCGACGAUCCCUAGCUGGUCUGAGAGGAGGACCAGCCACACGGGAACUGAGACACGGUCCAGACUCCUACGGGAGGCAGCAGUGGGGAAUAUUGCACAAUGGGCGCAAGCCUGAUGCAGCCAUGCCGCGUGUAUGAAGAAGGCCUUCGGGUUGUAAAGUACUUUCAGCGGGGAGGAAGGCGGUGAGGUUAAUAACCUCGCCGAUUGACGUUACCCGCAGAAGAAGCACCGGCUAACUCCGUGCCAGCCGCCGCCGUAA